rnacentral:rRNA from 1 species
UUGACCUCAAAUCAGGUAGGACUACCCGCUGAACUUAAGCAUAUCAAUAAGCGGAGGAAAAGAAACUAACAAGGAUUCCCCUAGUAACUGCGAGUGAAGCGGGAAGAGCUCAAAUUUGAAAUCUGGCGGUUCUUUGACUGUCCGAGUUGUAAUCUAGAGAAGUGCUACCUGUGCUGGACCAUGUACAAGUCUCCUGGAAUGGAGCAUCAUAGAGGGUGAGAAUCCCGUCUUUGACAUGGACUACCUGUACAUUAUGGUGCGCUCUCAAAGAGUCGAGUUGUUUGGGAAUGCAGCUCAAAAUGGGUGGUAAAUGCCAUCUAAAGCUAAAUAUUGGCGAGAGACCGAUAGCGAACAAGUACCGUGAGGGAAAGAUGAAAAGAACUUUGGAAAGAGAGUUAAACAGUACGUGAAAUUGCUGAAAGGGAAACGCUUGAAGUCAGUCACGUUGGCUAGAAAUCAGCCUUGCUUUUGCUUGGUGUACUUUCUGGUUGAUGGGUCAGCAUCAAUUUUGACCAUUGGAUAAAGUCUUUGGGAAUGUGGCAUCUUUGGAUGUGUUAUAGCCCAUUGUCACAUACGAUGGUUGGGAUUGAGGAACUCAGCACGCCGCAAGGCCAGGUUUCGACCAUGUUCGUGCUUAGGAUGCUGGCAUAAUGGCUUUAAUCGACCCGUCUUGAAACACGGACCAAGGAGUCUAACAUGCCUGCGAGUGUUUGGGUGGAAAACCCAUGCGCGUAAUGAAAGUGAAAGUUGAGAUCCCUGUAAUAAGGGGAGCAUUGACGCCCGGACCAGACCUUCUGUGACGGAUCCGCGGUAGAGCAUGUAUGUUGGGACCCGAAAGAUGGUGAACUAUGCCUGAAUAGGGUGAAGCCAGAGGAAACUCUGGUGGAGGCUCGUAGCGAUUCUGACGUGCAAAUCGAUCGUCAAAUUUGGGUAUAGGGGCGAAAGACUAAUCGAACCAUCUAGUAGCUGGUUC